AAUGAACGCUGGCGGCGUGCCUAAUACAUGCAAGUCGAGCGAAAGGACGGGAAGAUUGCGCUUCUGCUGUUAGCGGCGGACGGGCGAGUAACAAGUGGAUCACCUACUUAUAUGACUGGGAUAAUUUCGGGAAGAAGGAGAUACUAAUGGCUCAUACUUUGUACCGGAUGAUUCAAAAGUGCUUGAGGGUCUUGCCGUCACUUAUAGAUGGUUCCGCGCUGCAUUAGCUAGUUGGUAAGGUAACGGCUUACCAAGGCAACGAUGCAUAGCUGACCUGAGAGGGUGAUCAGCCACACUGGAACUGAGACACGGUCCAGACUCCUACGGGAGGCAGCAGUAGGGAAUCUUCCACAAUGGGCGAAAGCCUGACGCAGCAACGCCGCGUGAGUGAAGAAGGUCUUCGGAUCGUAAAACUCUGUUAUUGGGAAAGAACAGAAGUGUAUGUAUCUGUCGACAUCCUGACGGUACCCAAACAAAAAGCCACGGCUAACUUCGUG
rnacentral:rRNA from 1 species